UCGAUCGGACGCUCAGUUUGGAUUUUUCAAUUUUGGAGACAAUCCCCUUCUCUGACAACUCGUUUCUCCACGUUUCGGAUGAAAACAGUCCUCGCCUCUCUGCCACGUCAGCAUCUGUUACGUUUCACCCCAAACAAUCACUUCCUUUCUUUCCCACCAUUUUCCCUGCAACCCAAACGCCAAAAGUUUUCCGUCCGGCUAACUCGCAAUUUGUACAUGUCGAUUAAAUUUCAUCAUCACAGCUUCUUAUCUUCAAGGUUGAGAACUCAUCUGUGAUUUUCUCGUGAAUGCUGUCGUCUGAGUCAUUUAUCAAUGAGCAGGAUGUCUUGCAAGUUGCAAGGAACUCAGCUUCUAGCCAUUGAUGUUUCUGCUGCAAUGGAGUUGCUUAGAAAGGUCCUGACAGGGAAUGAAUUGUCGGAGAAAGAAAAGGAAGCCCUCUGGAGAACUCUGACUUAGCAUCAGUUGUUCCAAUUGGUGUUUUGAUGCUUCUUUCUAUAAGUUAAAAUACAUCAUUCUGUCAGCACGGCCUGCCAAUGCAUUGUCGAUCAAUCACUUUGUCUUUCUUACCCACAUAACAACUCCAUCAUGGAACCUCUGCUUAAAUAAUCACCUCGGGUCAAUAAAAGAACAAAACUUUUGCUAAUAACUUGACUGCACAAGUUGGGGGUUGAAAAUUGAGUUCAGAGGGAAUACUCUUCCCAUAGUUUUAUCUGGAAGUCUUUGUUCACGUAACUUAUCUUUACUGCUUCCAAGUUUCUCUAAAGUUACUGCUGUUGGGCAUGCAGCCAUUUUGGCUGCCAUUCAAAGAUAUGGUCCAGCUUCGAUACCAGCCACAUAUGGAUCUGAAAGAUUAGAUCUCUUGAGGCAGCUUGAGAAACCAGCGAAGUGGACUCUGAAGAAAAUGUGGAGGAAUUAGCAUGAAUAGCAG